rnacentral:rRNA from 1 species
GUACGGAAGGCAGCAGUGGGGAAUGUUGCACAAUGGGCGCAAGCCUGAUGCAGCCAUGCCGCGUGUGUGAAGAAGGCCUUAGGGUUGUAAAGCACUUUCAGCGAGGAGGAAGGCGUUGUAGUUAAUAGCUGCAACGAUUGACGUUACUCGCAGAAGAAGCACCGGCUAACUCCGUGCCAGCAGCCGCGGUAAUACGGAGGGUGCAAGCGUUAAUCGGAAUUACUGGGCGUAAAGCGCACGCAGGCGGUUUGUUAAGUCAGAUGUGAAAUCCCCGAGCUUAACUUGGGAACUGCAUUUGAAACUGGCAAGCUAGAGUCUUGUAGAGGGGGGUAGAAUUCCAGGUGUAGCGGUGAAAUGCGUAGAGAUCUGGAGGAAUACCGGUGGCGAAGGCGGCCCCCUGGACAAAGACUGACGCUCAGAUGCGAAAGCGUGGGGAGCAAACAGGAUUAGAAACCCCAGUAGUCC